rnacentral:rRNA from 1 species
UACGUAGGUGGCAAGCGUUGUCCGGAAUUAUUGGGCGUAAAGCGCGCGCAGGUGGUUUAAUAAGUCUGAUGUGAAAGCCCACGGCUCAACCGUGGAGGGUCAUUGGAAACUGUUAAACUUGAGUGCAGGAGAGAAAGUGGAAUUCCUAGUGUAGCGGUGAAAUGCGUAGAGAUUAGGAGGAACACCAGUGGCGAAGGCGGCUUUUGGCCUGUAACUGACACUGAGGCGCGAAAGCGUGGGAGCAACAGGAUUAGAUACCCGUAGUCC